AGUGAACGCUGGCGGUAGGCCUAACACAUGCCAGUCGAACGGCAGCACAGUAAGAGCUUGCUCUUACGGGUGGCGAGUGGCGGACGGGUGAGGAAUACAUCGGAAUCUACUUUUUCGUGGGGGAUAACGUAGGGAAACUUACGCUAAUACCGCAUACGACCUACGGGUGAAAGCAGGGGAUCUUCGGACCUUGCGCGAUUGAAUGAGCCGAUGUCGGAUUAGCUAGUUGGCGGGGUAAGGGCCCACCAAGGCGACGAUCCGUAGCUGGUCUGAGAGGAUGAUCAGCCAAACUGGAACUGAGACACGGUCCAGACUCCUACGGGAGGCAGCAGUGGGGAAUAUUGGACAAUGGGCGCAAGCCUGAUCCAGCCAUACCGCGUGGGUGAAGAAGGCCUUCGGGUUGUAAAGCCCUUUUGUUGGGAAAGAAAAGCAGCAGGUUAAUACCCCGCUGUUCUGACGGUACCCAAAGAAUAAGCACCGGCUAACUUCGUG
rnacentral:rRNA from 1 species